UAGGGAAUAUUGCUCAAUGGGCGAAAGCCUGAUGCAGCAACGCCGCGUGUGCGAUGAAGGUCUUCGGAUCGUAAGGCACUUUUCUGAGAGAUGAGAAAGGACAGUAUCUCAGGAAUAAGUCUCGGCUAACUACGUGCCAGCAGCCGCGGUAACACGUAGGAGGCGAGCGUUUAUCCGGAUUCACUGGGCGUAAAGCGCGUGCAGGCGGUUUGGUAAGUUGAUCGUGAAAGCUCCCGGCUCAACUGGGAGAGGUCGUUCAAUACUACCAAACUAGAGAGUAGAAGAGGAAGAUGGAAUUCCCGGUGUAGUGGUGAAAUGCGUAGAUAUCGGGAGGAACACCAGUGGCGAAGGCGAUCUUCUGGUCUAUUUCUGACGCUCAGACGCGACAGCUAGGGUAGUAAACGGGAUUAGAGACCCCGGUAAUCCUAGCCGUAAACGAUGUGAACUUGGCGUCGGUGGCUUAAACACCAUCGGUGCCGAAGCAAACGCGAUAAGUUCACCGCCUGGGGACUACGGCCGCAAGGUUA
rnacentral:rRNA from 1 species